rnacentral:rRNA from 1 species
UACGGAGGGGGCUAGCGUUGUUCGGAAUUACUGGGCGUAAAGCGCACGUAGGCGGCUUUUUAAGUCAGAGGUGAAAGCCCGGGGCUCAACUCCGGAAUUGCCUUUGAGACUGGGAGGCUUGAUCGUCGGAGAGGUGAGUGGAAUUCCGAGUGUAGAGGUGAAAAUUCGUAGAUAUUCGGAAGAACACCAGUGGCGAAGGCGGCUCACUGGACGACUGAUGACGCUGAGGUGCGAAAGCGUGGGGAGCAAACAGG